rnacentral:tRNA from 1 species
CAAAAAGGUGACCUACUGGCACUCUACCAAGACAUGCAGACCAUCACCCCCAUAGAAAUCA